UUAUUUUUUUCUUUAAGAGAAUAGCAUUUACGUAAUUAUCAUUAUCUUCUUCAUAUCCUUACGUUCUUUAUUCCUGCAAUUCUUUUAUCUUGUCGCCAUAUCUUGCACUUCUACGAAUGAUUAGACUCGAUUCAGGAUCAUUUAGUCUCAAUUUGAUCUUUAUUGGAGUUGACAAAUCAAAAUCACAACUUGGUUUUGGUGGUUUUAACGAUUUAUAUUACGCGGAUUUAGAUAAUUAAUCGCCGAUUACUAUUAUACUACGGUAUCUGCGGUCAAAACUCGGGUUACCAGAUAAUGGCACCGAUCAUGUCCAACUCGUUGCCACGGCAGCUCACCGCACAACGCGUUCUCAGCCGCUUACCCGCCC
rnacentral:lncRNA from 1 species